GUGUUUGCUUCAGUGGCACAUAUACUAAGACUCAAACGAUACAGAGAAGAUUAGCGUAGCCCCCGAACAAAGAUAACAUGCAAAUUUGUGAAAUGGUCUAUAUUUUU
ensembl:snRNA U6 U6 spliceosomal RNA